ACACAUGCAGUCGAACGGUGAGGCAGAGCUUGCUCUGCGGAUCAGUGGCGAACGGGUGAGUAACACGUGAGUAACCUGCCCUUGACUCUGGGAUAAGCGUUGGAAACGACGUCUAAUACCGGAUACGACCUUGGAAGGCAUCUUCCGGGGUGGAAAGAACUUCGGUUGGGGAUGGACUCGCGGCCUAUCAGCUUGUUGGUGAGGUAAUGGCUCACCAAGGCGACGACGGGUAGCCGGCCUGAGAGGGUGACCGGCCACACUGGGACUGAGACACGGCCCAGACUCCUACGGGAGGCAGCAGUGGGGAAUAUUGCACAAUGGGCGCAAGCCUGAUGCAGCAACGCCGCGUGAGGGACGACGGCCUUCGGGUUGUAAACCUCUUUUGGCAGGGAAGAAGCGAAAGUGACGGUACCUGCAGAAAAAGCACCGGCUAACUACGUGCCAGCAGCCGCGGUAAUACGUAGGGUGCAAGCGUUGUCCGGAAUUAUUGGGCGUAAAGAGCUCGUAGGCGGUUUGUCGCGUCUGCUGUGAAAACGCGAGGCUCAACCUCGCGCCUGCAGUGGGUACGGGCAGACUAGAGUGCGGUAGGGGAGAUUGGAAUUCCUGGUGUAGCGGUGGAAUGCGCAGAUAUCAGGAGGAACACCGAUGGCGAAGGCAGAUCUCUGGGCCGUUACUGACGCUGAGGAGCGAAAGCGUGGGGAGCGAACAGGAUUAGAUACCCUGGUAGUCCACGCCGUAAACGUUGGGAACUAGAUGUGGGGUCCAUUCCACGGAUUCCGUGUCGCAGCUAACGCAUUAAGU
rnacentral:rRNA from 1 species